rnacentral:rRNA from 1 species
UACGAAGGGGGCUAGCGUUGCUCGGAAUCACUGGGCGUAAAGCGCACGUAGGCGGCUUUUAAGUCAGAGGUGAAAUCCUGGAGCUCAACUCCAGAACUGCCUUUGAUACUGGAGAGCUGAGUCCGGGAGAGGUGAGUGGAACUGCGAGUGUAGAGGUGAAAUUCGUAGAUAUUCGCAAGAACACCAGUGGCGAAGGCGGAGCU